rnacentral:rRNA from 1 species
UAAACGACUCUCGGCAACGGAUAUCUCGGCUCUCGCAUCGAUGAAGAACGUAGCGAAAUGCGAUACUUGGUGUGAAUUGCAGAAUCCCGUGAACCAUCGAGUCUUUGAACGCAAGUUGCGCCCGAAGCCUCGGCUAAGGGCACGUCUGCCUGGGCGUCACGC